CAUAUUAGUGUCAAGUGUCAACUACCAACUCUCCACUCCGUUCAGCUCACUCAGUCCCCAUUCAGCUCUCCACCCCUCACUGGUCCACUCAUCCCCACAGUUCUCCAUUAGGGUUUCUCAUUCUGCUGCUCCGCUCGGCUUCCAGCUCUUUCUGGCCGGGUUCCGUAGAAUGUAGAUCCGCGGGGGACGGGGACAAUGUCGGUUUGAUACAUGCGUGGUCGGAGCUGGGACGGGGAGAUGGCGACUAGAAGGGUUCCGAGAAGGGCGUGGUUAAGGUUCCAAUCUUCAAUGGGUCUCCUCGUGGGUGGAAACCAUACCUCCUCCAGGUUUUGCACUCGCUAAUCCUUCCCCCUAACUCGUUUGCCGGCUUCAAUCUCUCUGUUUAAUUGAUCAAUAUUCAAUUCCCCCAAAGUUUCCCCUGCGAAAUUUCGCGAUAAAGAUCGAAGCUUUCGAGCCCUGGGAUGGACCUUAAGGCCUUCAGGUACCAGAUCCUUUACGGGUCCAUCGCGAGGCGGGUGCUGCUGCGCACUUUCGCCAUCGCCUGCGCGAUAUCCAUCAUUCCCCUGCUGCAUAUCUACUCCCGCGGCAACUCCCUGAUGUUUGCCCCAAUGGGCGCCUACCACUACGACGGCAGUCUCCCUCAUUUGCGAGGGGACCAGUUUCCCGGCUUGGCCUUGAUUCGUGAUCGCUUUCUAGUCCCUAUUUGGGACUCAAUUGAAUCGGCCUACUGCGGUGAAUAUGUGAACUUGACGAAAGCCGUGGUUUGGGAGUUAACGGGGAAGAACUUGUUGGACUAUUCCGGGAGAACUCUUUGCGCCGGGGGAGGUUCCGGUGCGUGCGUGCUCGCGCUUCGAGAAUUGAGAUUCUCUGAUGCAUCAGGGGUUAAUCGACUCCCCUUCUUCUCGCUUAAGCAGAAGCGCUUAGUGUAUGAGCUCGAAUACGAGGACAAUUCGUUCGACUUUGUCCUAUCAAGGGACCUCGAUAGGGUGUCUGUGCCGGCCCUGCUUGUGCUUGAGAUCGAGCGUGUCCUCAAGCCGGGUGGUGUUGGGGCUGUGCUCGUGGGCCUCAGCGGUUCAGACACGAGCAGCCUUAUUCGAUCGGCUUCUCCCGUUUCUUCCCUGCUGAAGGCGUCCAGCGUUGUGCAUGUUGGGUAUUUGAAUGAUUUCACUCUGGUCGUUUUCAAGAAGAAGUUCGAAAGUGUCAGCUUCUUCGGGCAGUUUACGCUUCCUGCUGACUGCCCAGCUAUUGCCAACAGUAGGCCUAUCAUAGACUUCAUGGAGCCUCUGGUCCAAGAAAAAGAAAAACCAGUGGAAUCUAAACGGAAGUUCGCCUACCUCCCGGAUCUCAUUGACAUUUCCUCACGGAAACGAAUGGUUUAUAUUGAUAUAGGGGCAGGGGAACACAUGAACUCGAGCAGUUUGAAUUGGUUCUUCCCGUCCUAUCCAGUGGACACCAAAGCCUUCAACGUUUACUUUGUCGACCAUAACACUUCUGUGCUGCUUUCAUACGUGAAGAAGCCUGGUGUGACCUUUGUUUACCACCCGGACCUAGCCGGGGACAGGGACAUACAUAAUUCCAGCACUGAUGAUCACGAUCUCGAUCCAUUACCAGGUGAUGAAGGGUUUGAUUUCCUCGCAUGGUUCAAAGAAACCGUGCGGUAUGCAGACUUUGUGGUCCUGAAGAUGAAUACAGGGGAAUCAGAACUGAAGUUCUUGAGGGACUUGUUCGUGAGCGGAGCAAUAUGUUUCGUGGACGAGCUGUUCCUUCACUGCUCGGAUCCUCGGAAUAGGACUAGCAUGAUGAAAGGGGAUUGUAUGGACAUGUUCCAAGGGCUGAGGAGCAUUGGCGUGUUCGUCCAUCAAUGGUGGGGAAACUAGUCUGGACUGGACUGGACUGGUCUGGACUUGACUAGACCUCUGGAGAUUUGGUGGACUAUGAAAUUCCAUGUUAUGUCCGUGUUAUGAGUGUUUCUGCGUCUGUUCCUUGUGUUUGCGGUUAUCCGCGUUCUGUGUUCCGGUCAAUCUCCGAAUGUGAAAUCGUGAUCAAGAUAUGGACUGGUCUGGACUUGACUAGACCUCUGGAGAUUUGGCGGACUAUGAAAUUCCAUGUUGUGUCCAUGUUAUGAGUGUUGCUGCGUCUGUUCCUUGUGUUUGCGGUCAUCCGUGUUCUGUGUUCCUGCGUCUGUUCCUUGUAUUUGCGGUCAUCCAUGUUCUGUGUUCCGGUCUAUCUCGGGUGAGUGCAUCUAUGUACUGCUUCGUGGUUGGGCACUUUGCACUAAAUAAACAACCAUAUGUAGUUUCCUAAUGUCAUAAUAAACGUGUGUUUGUGUUAUA